rnacentral:ncRNA from 1 species
CUGCUAAGUGGUAACUUCCAAAUUCAGAGAAACCCUGGAAUUAAAAAAGGGCAAUCCUGAGCCAAAUCCGUGUUUUGAGAGGGGAUUCUCGAACUAGAAUACAAAGGAAAAGGAUAGGUGCAGAGACUCAAUGGAAGCUGUUCUAACGAAUCGAGUUAAUUACGUUGUGUUGUUAGUGGAAUUCCUUCUAAUUCUAAAUUAGAGAAAGAGGG